rnacentral:rRNA from 1 species
AUUGAACGCUGGCGGCAGGCCUAACACAUGCAAGUCGAGCGGAUGACGGGAGCUUGCUCCUUGAUUCAGCGGCGGACGGGUGAGUAAUGCCUAGGAAUCUGCCUGGUAGUGGGGGACAACGUUUCGAAAGGAACGCUAAUACCGCAUACGUCCUACGGGAGAAAGCAGGGGACCUUCGGGCCUUGCGCUAUCAGAUGAGCCUAGGUCGGAUUAGCUAGUAGGUGAGGUAAUGGCUCACCUAGGCGACGAUCCGUAACUGGUCUGAGAGGAUGAUCAGUCACACUGGAACUGAGACACGGUCCAGACUCCUACGGGAGGCAGCAGUGGGGAAUAUUGGACAAUGGGCGAAAGCCUGAUCCAGCCAUGCCGCGUGUGUGAAGAAGGUCUUCGGAUUGUAAAGCACUUUAAGUUGGGAGGAAGGGCAGUAAGUUAAUACCUUGCUGUUUUGACGUUACCGACAGAAUAAGCACCGGCUAACUCUGUGCCAGCCGCCGCCGUAAGAC